UCUAUUUUGGCAGAUUAAUUGUAUCAAAUUUAGAAUUUGAAGAGGAUAAAAUAUCAAAUAGAA
rnacentral:tRNA from 1 species